rnacentral:hammerhead_ribozyme from 1 species
GUUCAGCUGGCGAGUCCUAAAUGGGACGAAAUGCGCAUUCUGGAU